rnacentral:rRNA from 1 species
GACGAACGCUGGCGGCGUGCUUAACACAUGCAAGUCGAACGGAAAGGCCCUGCUUUUGUGGGGUGCUCGAGUGGCGAACGGGUGAGUAACACGUGAGUAACCUGCCCUUGACUUUGGGAUAACUUCAGGAAACUGGGGCUAAUACCGGAUAGGAGCUCCUGCUGCAUGGUGGUGGAUGGAAAGUUUCGGCGGUUGUGGAUGGACUCGCGGCUUAUCAGCUUGUUGGUGGGGUAGUGGCUUACCAAGGCUUUGACGGGUAGCCGGCCUGAGAGGGUGACCGGCCACAUUAGGACUACGAUACGGCCCAGACUCCUACGGGAGGCAGCGGUGGAGAGUAUUGCGCAAUGGGCGGAAGCCUGUUGCAGCAGCGCCGCGUGCGGGAUGACGGCCUUCGGGUUGUAAACCGCUUUCGCCUGUGACGAAGCGUGAGUGACGGUAAUGGGUAAGGAAGCACCGGCUAACUACGUG